rnacentral:rRNA from 1 species
GACGAACGCUGGCGGCGUGCUUAACACAUGCAAGUCGAACGGAAAGGCCCUGCUUUUGUGGGGUGCUCGAGUGGCGAACGGGUGAGUAAUACGUGAGUAACCUGCCCUUGACUUUGGGAUAACUUCAGGAAACUGGGGCUAAUACCGGAUAGGAGCUCCUGCUGCAUGGUGGGGGUUGGAAAGUUUCGGCGGUUGGGGAUGGACUCGCGGCUUAUCAGCUUGUUGGUGGGGUAGUGGCUUACCAAGGCUUUGACGGGUAGCCGGCCUGAGAGGGGGACCGGCCACAUUGGGACUGAGAUACGGACCAGACUCCUACGGGAGGCAGCAGUGGGGAAUAUUGCACAAUGGGCGGAAGCCUGAUGCAGCAACGCCGCGUGCGGGAUGACGGCCUUCGGGUUGUAAACCGCUUUCGCCUGUGACGAAGCGUGAGUGACGGUAAUGGGUAAAGAAGCACCGGCUAACUACGUG